rnacentral:lncRNA from 1 species
AGAUGAUUAACUUCAUGAAAAGAUUCGGAAAAACUCCAAUUGGAAUUUCAAUUGGAGGGUUUUUCUACGUAAAAAGAAACUUUCCUAUUAAAAUGAUGAAUAGCUUUUAUUCUAUUAUGUCUGCUUUAAUAGAAUUGGGAAAAAAGAAGAACCAAGGAAACUGCAUUUCGACUUCUUUUGCGAAUGAAUCUUUAUCGAUUAAUUAAUUUUAAUAAAUUAUAAACUAACAAAUGAAUGAUUUUUAAUUAAUGUAACGCUAAUAUUUUUUAAUUCCUUUUAAGAUAUUAUUACAGAAUACAAAUAUUAUAUGAUUAAUUUUAAAAUACUUUAUGUUGAAGUGGAUAGAGUGACCUUAUCUGUCU